ensembl:snRNA U6 U6 spliceosomal RNA
GUGCUCACUUUGGCAGCACAGAUACUAAAAUUGAAAUGAUACAGAGAAGAUUAGCACGGCCCCUGCCCGAGGAUGAGACGCAAACUCAGGAAGCAUUCCAUAUUUUU